GGAUCUCUUUCUGAAGAUUCCUCCUUAGUGAAGUUUUCCCCUGCAACCUUGGAAUAUUCUGAUACAGCUGGGAAUUGGAAUGCCUAGGAACCUGUCUUGAGGUCAUGCCAAGCUCUGCAGUGAAGCCCAGAUAACCACAAGUGACAGAAUUUGAAGCCAGUCACAAACUGGCUGUGAACAGCCUCUUGUGAGAGUUUGUGUGGAGUGUCUAUAUUGUGCUCAUCACUUUUUCUACUGUGUCUAUUUCUUCAACUUUACUCUUCCUGUCCUCGAAGAAGUAGGGGCAUGGGGUGCUGCUUGCAGCCAUGCCUCACUAUUAGGGCUCAGAGUUGCUGGCAGGACUGGCUCAGCCAUAGCGAGUCCCUGACCAUCUCACUUUGUACCUACAGGUCAGUAGGGUGUGCUGCAGAAUCCUGAAGACUCUUUGCAUUCUUUCUAAGCGUCACUGGGAAAAUAAGCCUAUAAAGAAUUGUAAAAGAAUCAGUUGGAUUGCAGCAACAGCUUUCCAUGUAAACAUGAUACCGUACUUAAUGGCUAUGAGUGAGUGUUCUUUGCAAUAGAUGGGUGUGCUGCAGGAAGAAAGUGCUGUAACAGUGUCCUUCUGGACCAAUUUUAAACAGAAAACUGAGGCUUUUUAGCAAGUUUAUGUGUUGCCUGAGGGACGAAGACAUUCCUGGCAUCCAUCCUACAAUCAAAUGUAAAACAAGAUCCAUUCUAUUGCUGUAUACAUAAUGGUCCGUUUCUGAUGUUUUUGAAAAAGAUUUUUAAUACAUGAUUUUGGAUUUUUGAAAUCCUUUGAGGCAUUAACUGAAGUGGGGAACAGGGAUCUAUAUAUCAGUGAAGAUAAAUAUCUUAGACGUAAAUAAUUAAACAUAGUCAUAAAGUAUUUUUCAUUUAUUUUACUUUAUUUCACUUCGUUUUGUUUUUACAAACGCGCAUUUUAAAUUCAAUUUUUUCUUUAUACGUGUGUGUCAUUGCCCUCUACUGGGCGGAUUCAGAAUGACUUUUUGGCAACGCCGCCUGCUUGGAGUCGGUGAGUGUUACUUCAGCGUGAUCAGAAGGGAAUGCCUCCACAUUCCAAGUAUUAAACAAACACGUGGAAAGAUCUCUGUAAGGAGGAGGGAAAUAAUUAUACACUGAGGACUGCUGUGCUUUGUGGUGACUUUCCCCACAGAAGAGGAAGAUGGAUUUGAUGAGAGGAGAAGGAAAGUGGUGGCUAUUACUAAGUGACCUGCAAUCUCAUCUGAGGGGAUAUUUGUGCAGGACCCCGCUCCUGAACAUGAGCCGUUGGCCACUACAGGGGAACCACCAACUCAGUCUAUUGAUCUAUUGGUCUGUGGCUAUCUGGAUAUGUAAACGUAUUGAAUGAAGAGGAAAACAUUGCUGCUAUCUCCAAAGGCAGUAAAGUAGAAGUUUUAGUAUGGUACACAUAGACAACUUGCUGUUAACCAGAAGAAAUAGAUAUUGCAUGAUACAUGAGAAUCAGAGAGUUUCUUAUAUUGGAAGAGACCUUAAAGGUCACCUAGAUACAGUCUCCUUCUCCAACCCUUCCUUGUAUAUACCUAGAGACAGGGAAUCCGCAGUUUCCCUGGACAACCUGUUUCAGUGCCUUACCACCUUCUCAGUAAAGAGUUUCCUAUAAAUAUCUAGCCUAUAUCUCCCAUUUUAAUUUAAAACCAUUCUCUGUUGUUCUAUCAUUAUCAGACUCCGUAAAAAAUCAGGCUCCCUCCUGUUUUUAAACUUCCUUCAAGUAAUGGAAGGGCACAAUGUGGACACCCCAGAGCCUUCUCUGUGAAGCCCAGUUCCCUCAGCCUGUCUUCAUAAGAGAGGUGCUGGAACCCUCUGAUCAUUUCUGUAGCCUCCUCUGGGCCCCUUCCAACAGCUCCACAUCCCUCCUAUGCUGGAGGCCCCAGGCCUGGACACAGUACUCCAGAUGGGGCUUCACAAGGACUGAGUAGAUGUGGACGGUUAUCUCCUCUCCUUGCAGGCUACCUCUGUGGUGCAGUCCAAGAUACUGUUGGCACUUCCAAGCUUAAUGAAGUUGUGAGGGCAGCAGUGAUGGAGAAGGAAGAAGCAAUCCUUACUGGGGAUCUAGUAGCAAAAUUCCUUGAGGAUUUGUAUUUGGCAUCCUGUGUGUAAUUUUUGAUGCUGAAAAAAGCUGGCAGUGAUGAUGAAAUUGGAUGACAGCAAAAAGCUGAGAAGCACUGUUAAUGCAGAGGGGGAUUAGGCUAUCUUAGAAGAAAAAAUGAACUAUUUUGAGGCCUUCAAUAGGAAUAGAAAAGGGAUAAAAUGUAUUAAUGCAGAGAGCGAGGUCAUAUUUGAAGUUCCUUUCCGGUGCUUUUCUUGUCAAGUACAUGUGUAACAGAUACAAGUUUGUAGGCCUAGCUGUCUGAAGUGUAGUUCAUUUUAAAAUAAAAACAGAUUUUAUUAAA